UUAAUUGAAACCAAAAAGAGGUAUGUCAUUGUUAAUGAUAAAACUGAGUCUUUCGCUCCGAUUAAG
rnacentral:tRNA from 1 species